CCUACGGGGGGCUGCAGUGGGGAAUAUUGCACAAUGGGCGCAAGCCUGAUGCAGCCAUGCCGCGUGUGUGAAGAAGGCCUUCGGGUUGUAAAGCACUUUCAGCGGGGAGGAAGGCGUUAAGGUUAAUAACCUUGGCGAUUGACGUUACCCGCAGAAGAAGCACCGGCUAACUCCGUGCCAGCAGCCGCGGUAAUACGGAGGGUGCAAGCGUUAAUCGGAAUUACUGGGCGUAAAGCGCACGCAGGCGGUCUGUCAAGUCGGAUGUGAAAUCCCCGGGCUCAACCUGGGAACUGCAUUCGAAACUGGCAGGCUAGAGUCUUGUAGAGGAGGGUAGAAUUCCAGGUGUAGCGGUGAAAUGCGUAGAGAUCUGGAGGAGUACCGGUGGCGAAGGCGGCCCCCUGGACAAAGACUGACGCUCAGGUGCGAAAGCGUGGGGAGCAAACAGGAUUAGAUACCCGAGUAGUC
rnacentral:rRNA from 1 species